GGACCACACAAGUUUUUGUAAAAAGGCCACCCCUUUUUUUGGACAUUAUUCGAAUCUUAUAAGUGGAUCAAAUCGAUUGUUUCGCGGAUUUUGGGUCUCUAGAACACAAUUUACCAAAAUUGUCCUGAAACAGAUCAUAUUCCCUUCCCCAUUUAAUAUUUACUCAUGUUUCUCAAGAAAAUGAAUGUUUAUCGUGUAGAGGUAGUUUUCUAUAAUUCACUUAAUUCCCACGUAAUGUCCUUAUUUUUAUGGGACUUCUUUGUUGAGUUUAUUCAAGGUAUAUUCUCAAUAUAUCAAGAAUAUAACUUCUUUUUCACAUAUUUUCGUGUUAUGAUUGAUUUCGGCCUGUAGAUGAUAGCGAUAUAGCAAAAUACGAGAAAGUUUCAGUUUUUCCUGAAUAAAAAGCAUCAACGUCAGUUUCAAUAGAAUCGUCAUACCAUAGUUAUGCUACUUUAGUUCUGGCAAGGUCAAAAUAUUGCAUAGAUGAAUAUUGCACGUCGCUGGACAUUAUGCAAGCUUCUUGCCAUUGCAUUAUGGCUGCCACUAACAAAAAUUCAAUAAGUGAAUUAAACAAAUACCUUACCUAAAAUUUGAUUCAAUAUUUUGUGACCGGUUUGAAAAUGAUGGAAGUAAACAGAUUGUGAGAUCUUUAAAGAAAGAAUCAGCUGUACUAAUAUUGCGCCCUUGCAUUGCAUUGCACGUUGUAUUCCAUCAUGUCAAGCGGCGGUAAUGGUUUAAAGACUAACCAGAAAUCUCAAAUCGCCAAAUCAGGGGAAUAAAGAGGAUAUUCAAUGACUGAUACAUUAUUUUCACGUGAAUAUUCAGCUGUACAGUGUAUGGUGAUCCAUUAUCCAAUGCCUAAAUCGCUGGAUAUGGGCAUCUUUGGGUCUCCUUUCAUCAUACGUCUCUUUAUUUCCAGUAACUGAAAAACAGGACCUACCAGCAGUGCCUCAUUACCAAGCGUAUCCUCUUUGCUAGCUCUAACUGCUCAAGUAAUGUGGGAUUUUAAAAUAUACAGAGUAGUGUUCUUUAUUAAAUAUUGAUUGAAGUAUGGUUAACUAUGACAUAUGAAGCAAAACUUUUUUACAAAUCAAAAUCUAUUUCAAUUACUUACAAAUUCAUUCGAUAUAUUCAUAUUUUAAAACAAUGUGAUUCAAUUUUUUGUUAUUGUAAAUCUUUUAUAGGUUUGCGUUCGAAUUUUCUCAGAUUUUGUUCCAUUUUCUCGGCAAUCUUUAUACAAACUAUAUAGUAAACAAGUUUAAAUCAAACGUCUCUACAUCUUUCACGAUCGGCGUUCAAAGAUAGACACACAGACAUUCAAACACUUCCAAUAAUUGAAUGAAUAAUUCAUAGUUUGUCCACUUGUCAAUUAUCCGAUCUUCUCUUGGUCUCUACCGGAUUAUGUGUUGUAUUUAGAAGUAAGGUAUGCAAACAAACUGGUAUACAAACAACUAGACACCAACAGUCAUAGAUAGACAGACACGAAAUGUAAAUAUCAAUUCUAAUUAGCGGUAAUCACAGACCAGGAGAAAACCACCGGUUGGGUGUUCUACGGAAAUCGAGCGAGGCAAGGGUGGAGAAAUUAGCACGAGAACAUGGAGGAGAAGAUCAUAUAUAAAGGGUUGAAACUUAGGGGUAGUGAGAUGUAAUGUGAAUUCUUGUUAAUAUAGAUAAACUUGAAUUUAAUGCUUUAAAGUGAAGUUUCUUGUAAAUUUGCAGAAAUGGAAAAUAUAUAAUUGAUUAAAAACUAUUCUUUGCUAAAAACAAAGUGUUUUAUUUUAUACUACAAAAUCGAAAUUAGUUUGUCGCCAACUCUAAAUAUGUGAAUAGAACAUUAUGCAAAUAAUUUGCCAGCUCACGUCAUUUUGACAGUGCCAUAAGUCAAGUUGAGUUGUUUUUGGAGAUACAGAAUUUUGAAUAACUUUUGUUAUUGUUAAAAUAAGGAAUAUUGCUUGCCAAAAGCACGAGUUAUCCACAGGAACAAAUCAUUUAUAGAACGCCAAGAGAAAGAUCCAUUUCUCUCAUGGAUACUUUCAACUUUAAAAAUUGAUGAUAAUAUUUAAUGUGUGAUGAGUUAUGCCGAAAUUUUCCACCACUUAAGAAAAUGAUAAUGGAAGAAACUUGCCCGUUGAUAUUGUUGAGAAGAUUGCUAAGGAUCAAUAAUUUUUCAACUGAGUAGUGAUUAUAGGUUAUAAAACCUGGGUAUUUCAGUAUGAUCCUGAAACAAAGUGACACACAAAAUGAAAUGGAAACAAGUCGUUAUAUACGUUAUUUCAAAACUCAAAAAACAUUUAAAAAAGUUGGGAUGAAUAAGAUUAAGGCUUCCAGCGGUGCUACUUCCGAGGAAAUGACAUUGUUCGAAAAAUGUGGUUAAUAAAAAAAAAACAAUCUCA